AUAUUUAAAAAUUUAUUUAUAUAUAUAUAUAUAUAUAUAUAUAUAUAUAUAUAUAUAUAUAUAUAUAUAUAUAUAUAUAUAUAUAUUAAUUUAUAAUUUUUUUUUAAUAAAAAAAAUAUUUUAAAUUAAUUAGUUUAAUUUAUAUAUAUAUAUAUAUAUAUAUAUAUAUAUAUAUAUAUAUAAUUAUUAUUUAAUAGUAUAAUUUUAAGAAUUAAAUUAAAUUUUUUUUUGUAUUGUAAAAGAUAAUUAAAUGUUUAAAAUAAAUAAAAUUAAAGAAAUAGAAAUUAUUUUUUUUUACCUUUUGUAUCAGGGUUAAUUAAAAUUAAAAUUUAAUUAAUAUUAUUAUCGAAUUAAUAAGAUUUAAUUUAAUAAUUUAUUUAAAAUAAUAAAUUUAUUAAUAAUAUUAAAUUGGGAGAGAAAAUUUAUUCGUUUAUUAAGAUAUCUAUUUAUUUAAUAAUUAAAUUUAAUUUAUUUUAAUUAAAUUUUAAUUAAUUUAUUUUAUAAUUAUUUUUUUAAUUAAAUAAAAAUUUUAGGGAUAAGCUUAAAAUUUAAAUUAUAAAUGAAAUUUAAAAUUAAAAUAAUAAUAUAAUUGAAAUUUUUUUUUAUUAAGAAAAUUUAAUAAUUUAUAAAUUAAUAAUAAAAAUUUGUUUAGGGUUUAAUUAAUUAUUAAAUUGAGAUUUAAAAUAAAUAUAAAUUUUAAAUAAUGAUUAAAUUAGUAUAAUAUUAAAUUUAAUGAAAUAUAUAUAUAUAUAUAUAAUUAAUUUGAAGAUAAAUUUAAGGAAUUAGACAAUUUUUUUUUGAAAAAAAAAAUUUAUUCACCUGUUUAAUAAAAACAUGUCUUUUUGAGAAUAAUUUAAAGUCCAAUCUGCUCAAUGAAAAAUUUAAAUAGCUGCGGUAUAUUAACCGUACAAAGGUAGCAUAAUCAAUAGUUUUUUAAUUUAAAGCUGGAAUAAAAGAUUUGAUGAAAUAAAUAUUGUCUCAAGUUUAGUAAUGUUAGAAUUUUUUUUUUAGUAAAAAUACUAAAUUGAAUUUAAAAGACGAGAAGACCCUAUAGAUUUUUAUAAUUAAUUUUUUUUUGUUAAAAAGUUAAUUGUUAGAUUGGGGAAAUUAUUAAAUUAAAAUAAUUUUAAUAAGUUUUAAACAAUAAUUAUUGAUUAUUUGAUCUUAAUUUAUAGAUUAAUAGAUUAAAAUACCUUAGGGAUAACAGCGUAAUUUUUUUGAAGAGAUCUUAUUGAUAAAAAAGUUUGCGACCUCGAUGUUGAAUUAAGAUAAAAUUUUAAUGAAGAAGUUAAAAAUUUUUAGUCUGUUCGACUAUUGAAAUCUUACAUGAUUUGAGUUUAGAUCGGUGUGAGCCAGAUCGGUUUUUAUCUUUAAUAAAAAAAAAUUAAUUUUGUACGAAAGGACUAAUUAAUUAAAAUAAUUUUUUAUUUAGAUUAAGUUUA
rnacentral:rRNA from 1 species